UACGGAGGGAGCUAGCCGUUGUUCGGAAUUACUGGGCGUAAAGCGCACGUAGUCGGCUUUGUAAGUUAGAGGUGAUAGCCUGGAGCUCAACUCCAGAAUUGCCUUUAAGACUGCAUCGCUUGAAUUCCAGGAGAGGUGAGUGGAAUUCCGAGUGUAGAGGUGAAAUUUCGUAGAUAUUCGGAAGAACACCAGUGGCGAAGGCGUCUCACUGGACUGGUAUUGACGCUGAGGUGCGAAAGCGUGGGGAGCAAACAGGAUUAGAUACC
rnacentral:rRNA from 1 species